GAUGAACGCUGGCGGCGUGCCUAAUACAUGCAAGUCGAGCGAACGGACGAGAAGCUUGCUUCUCUGAUGUUAGCGGCGGACGGGUGAGUAACACGUGGAUAACCUACCUAUAAGACUGGGAUAACUUCGGGAAACCGGAGCCAAUACCGGAUAAUAUUUUGAACCGCAUGGUUCAAAAGUGAAAGACGGUCUUGCUGUCACUUAUAGAUGGAUCCGCGCUGCAUUAGCUAGUUGGUAAGGUAACGGCUUACCAAGGCAACGAUGCAUAGCCGACCUGAGAGGGUGAUCGGCCACACUGGAACUGAGACACGGUCCAGACUCCUACGGGAGGCAGCAGUAGGGAAUCUUCCGCAAUGGGCGAAAGCCUGACGGAGCAACGCCGCGUGAGUGAUGAAGGUCUUCGGAUCGUAAAACUCUGUUAUUAGGGAAGAACAUAUGUGUAAGUAACUGUGCACAUCUUGACGGUACCUAAUCAGAAAGCAACGGCUAACUACGUG
rnacentral:rRNA from 1 species